rnacentral:lncRNA from 10 species
UUCUGUGCCCCGGCUGGCAGUGAACUGGUCCCCUUAGCAGCUGACCUCCUCCUCCAGCCCUGUGGCUGCCUCCUCUCCAACAGGGACCCUCCUGGUGAAAGAAAAAGAGACUUGGUAAUUCACUGAGCAUCACCCAAGACCGGGCGCAGACCUACACCCUGGCGUAUAAAAGACGUAGUACUCACGUCAUUCCUGUUUCACAGAUGCACAGACUUACUCUUGGAGAGGCUCCUCCCAAAAGUCACCCAGCUGGUUUUCAUCCACUUGGCUCCCCAAGUUGCUGCUCGACCGCUCUCUGACCUGGAUUCACUGAGGACACAUCAGGCCUUUGCCACGGGCUCCAUGGAGUGGCCGGAGCCCAGGGCUGGGUGAGUGUGGGGUGGGUCUGAAGGGGAGGACGUGCAUCUAGAGGCCAGGCCAGCCCCUGCAGGAUUUUCUGAUGUCAAAUCGCCUGUCCUGUGCCCGAGCCCUAUCGCCUUAGCAGAAUGAGGACACGUGCCUCCCCUGGGCCUC